rnacentral:rRNA from 1 species
UACGAAGGGGGCUAGCGUUGCUCGGAAUUACUGGGCGUAAAGCGCACGUAGGCGGAUUGUUAAGUCGGGGGUGAAAUCCUGGAGCUCAACUCCAGAACUGCCUUCGAUACUGGCGAUCUCGAGUUCGGGAGAGGUGAGUGGAACUGCGAGUGUAGAGGUGAAAUUCGUAGAUAUUCGCAAGAACACCAGUGGCGAAGGCGGCUCACUGGCCCGAUACUGACGCUGAGGUGCGAAAGCGUGGGGAGCAAACAGGGAU